UGGGGAAUAUUGCACAAUGGGCGAAAGCCUGAUGCAGCAACGCCGCGUGAGUGAUGAAGGUCUUCGGAUUGUAAAGCUCUGUCUUUUGGGACGAUAAUGACGGUACCAAAGGAGGAAGCCACGGCUAACUACGUGCCAGCAGCCGCGGUAAUACGUAGGUGGCGAGCGUUGUCCGGAUUUACUGGGCGUAAAGGGUGCGUAGGCGGAUGUUUGAGUGAGAUGUGAAAUACCCCGGGGCUUAACUU
rnacentral:rRNA from 1 species